UGGGACUCACGCACCUGAGCUGGGGGGGGAGGGGAUCCCCCCCUUCUGGGCAAACGGCCCCGCGCCCAGUGCGGAGCGAGUGACACCAGAGCCCCCUCCCCCCUGUCGGUCCCCGGGCGGGGAAGCGGGAACCGAGGAGCCAGUUCCCUGCCGCCCGCCAGGGCCUCACUGCUCUCGCUGACACAGAUCGCAGCUCCGUCACCGAUCUCCCUCGGCCAGUGCUUGGCACCACUCUGCGGCAUCGCAGAGUGACUGGACCGCCCUGCCUGCAGGCUCAGGACCACAGUUCGGCGUCAGUUCAUGUCUGGAAGGUUAACUCCAGAGACUGAAAAUUGCAGGCGUGGUAGAAAUCAAAGACACAUGUCUUUGUCCUCACCAGGGUCGAUAACCUGCUCUUCCGCAUGGGCUGCAACAGGUUCCGCAACAGGCAGUGUUCAGUCGUGACACUGCCUGUUUCUGCACUGGUGCCCGCACAGAUGUCCUGCUCCUACAGCUGCUGCACAGUCAACAACCUCGAGUGCAUCGAGCAUGCCAUUAUGGCACUACUGGCGUACCUUGGUUUCGCAUGGGUCUUUUUCUCUUUUACAGAGGAAAGCUAUUAUCUAGACGCUAAGUGAAAAGUGACUUGUACAUAACUGCAGGGAAAUACUGUAAUAUAGUCAAAACCUUUGGAUAUGGAAGUGGCAGGAGAGUCGACUUUUUGUCCUCAAAAUUCUUCCUGCUCUGUUCCCUCCCAACGAACCGGCACAAGAAUCAAAGAGCAGGCUUGGGAAGUAGCACGCAAAAGCUGUUCCAUGCACAAAUAUAUAUGGCCCAGUGUUUUUAUUUGCUUUGGCAUUUUACAGCUGGCAACAGUUGCUCUGGGCAUGUCUUUGACUUCUGGAGACAUUUUAUCAGAAACGAGACCAGAAAUGCUGUGCUGUAAAAUUCCAGGGGUUCCAGCUUCAUUCUGACCUGUUCUUCUCUCUGUGGCAUGAGAUUACGUAACUCUCAUUAAUUGCUUUGUCUGCUAAUUUAAAGUGCCAGGAAAUAAUUUGGCUACUUUUAUGUCAAGUAAUUACAAAAAAAGUACCGCUUUAUAAAAUAUUGGUGAUUGGCAGCAGUAGUCUUGGAAAGUAGUCUUGCUGAGAUUUUCAAAAGGAUCAAAGUGGUACAGGAAUGUAAGUCUUCUGAUUUCAGCGGGAUCUGUUCUUCAAAAUCACUUACGCGCCAGGUGAAAUUUUUAAAGCUCUUUAAAAUUAUGCUUGACGCUUGGGUGACCCUGGUUAUGUACUUCUAAAAUGGGACCGGGAUUUUCCAAAAGCAUAUGCCAGAAGGCAAACCUAGAGUGUGCUAUAGCGUGGCUAGUGAUGACUUAGGUAGUUUCAAGAUACCCAUAUUUUUGUGCAGCAUGUAACUAAUUUUUUUCCCUAAAAGCUGUGCCCUACUGGCAGACUUUUCUCUUACCUUUUGUAAGUAUGAUUCUUAGAUAAACCGAAGUUACCGCUUCUAGCAGUGCCUUACCAAGUUGCUCUGCUGUUUGCUUUGCAGAGGGAAAUCUUGUUCUCAGACACAGAUUCUUGAAAUGAUGAGGGUAUGUCAAUCUUGUAAAUCAUCUUCUUUCAAGGUUGGCCAGAUAUUCAAACAAGGUUAUGAACCUCCCUAUUUGUACAGUCAUUAUUCCAAAACAGGUCGAUCCAGCAGAGUUAAGUCCCUGCCCUGUAUAAUUUAUAAACAUGUCUGCUUAACCUCUGAUGACUAAAUUAAAUUCUAAAAUAAUAAUAAAAUGCUCAGCCUUUAUUUUAACAAACUGGUAUUGCCAGUUUCAUAGUAUAUACGUUAAUUAUUAAUAUCUUUGGCGCUAGAAAAUGGAUUUUCUCUGCACAAAGUCCGUUUCUUGGCAUAGGAUGUGUUUGGGAACCAUCAAUAUGAAAAGGAUUAAUGUGGAGACAUGAAAGGUAGUAAAACAUUAAGGAGGUUGUCUAAAUAUUUUAUAUGGAGAGACCUAUAGGUACAUCUCUAUCAUAGCAAGUUUUUUUUGCUGGUUUGUUGCCCUACACCUCAUUUACAAUGCUUUGUUUAAAUUACUUUGUUUAGGCCAUGAGCUCUCCCUUAUUGUGUUUCUCUUCAGCACUGAACUUUCUCUCAGACAAGAUACAAUAUAAUUAAUAUGCUAACUGAGAGGGAUCACGUUAGGUUCCUCUCCCUGUUUAAAACAAUUAUAGAAAACAUUUCUCUCCCUUCUAUCUCAAUCUGUAGGAAAAUUCAUGAAAGGAAACAUAAAUUGUUUCCAGGCCUCUCUCUCUAUUUUUUCCUGUAAAAGGGAUGAAAUACUUAUUUGUCUUCUUGUGCAUUUGUCAAAUACUUCUUUGUCUUUUUUCCCUAUUUAUGUACAUGCACAUUCGUUUAUAUUUCUAAACCAAAUAGUACAUGUUAGUACUUAAAUAUAAUUUGAUAUUGGAAGUGACUCUAGGCAAAAAUUAAAAUUGAAUUCCUUCUUAAAACUACAAGAUUAAGAAACUUCAAACACAGUUGAAUGAUCUGAUCCCUUUGAACUGGAAAGGACAAUUCCCCUAAUUUCAGGAUGACAAAAAUAAUAGUUUGAAAUAAUAUAGGUUCUUCUGCUGUUUUCAUGGAUAUACGAUUUGUUGCAUUGCUGCUUGGUAACUCAGAGCAUUGUAAACAUGAACAUUGAAGGUUCACUGUCAACUGAAAUUUGCUCCAAAAGUUAAAUUUUGUAAAAGUGAGUUUUUGGAAGUACUCAUUCCUGGCAUUGAGCUCAAUGGAGAAGAAUCAGAUUACUGCUGAGUCCUCUUGAGAAUCCCACCCCCAAAACAAAGCGCCAGGUUUUUACAAAUUGAAUAAAACCAGUCAAAAAAACAAACAGGUUUAUUAUUUCUUUUAAGAACACCUCCCUGCUUCAGUAUUUGCAAUCCAAAGUUUGAGAACUUGAAUAUAAACAAAAGCGAAAAGUAUUUCAUUUCCUAAAAUGAGAGAAAUGCAAAAAUUAAACAAACAAAUUUACUGCUAGAUUUUUUCAUUUCUAAUAUUAUCUAAAUUGUCCUUUGUAAUAUAGGCCUAUCAUUUUUGCAAUCCAGUCUUAGGUUAUUAUGUCUGCUCAGGCCAUCCUAGCCCAUUCUAAAACUUUCCUUCCACUAUUCAGCGUGUCCGAGCACAGGAUGCUUCUGUACAGCUCAAAUUUGACUUUGGGGUUGCUUAAUUCACAUAAAGCAUUGCAAAGAAUUUGUGCUUCUGGUGCAUCUGGACAUGUCAUGGCAUCUUCCCAGGUUCUCCUGUGUCUGCUUAGACUCAUGCUCUACCACUAACAGUGUGGCAACAUUGUUGAGGCAGUACAUUUAUUCCUUUGGAAAAGAGAUGAAAUGCCUUCAGUCAUUCGCUCUGUGAUUAUGUGCUAAGUUAUUUCAAGAACAACAUUGGUUUGGCUCUGAAGUGAGAGUCUUUCACCCAUUUUAGGCUUAAUCUACUCUCAAAAAAUUACCCAUUGCUGACAACUGGUAUCAACAGUGCAUUCAUCAGAAUCUCACUAGCAUGUUUUGACAGCAGGUGUGGAGCUGGAUAGAACACCUUUCAGAAAACGGGGAACCAUAGGAUGUGGUUUAUCCCAGUCUUCACUUGCAUUUAAACCAGGUUAACCUGAACUGGCGCUGAAUUCCUUUGUCAGCAAUAGUUACUUUUUCUAGUGGAGAUCGGGCAUUUAGUUUGUGAGGAAAGGCAAAACCCUGCAAAUUUAGACCAGGAAAGAGGAUGGGGAAAAUUAAAAAGUGCAGGUAUGGGAAGGAGGGUUUCACUGGAAAGAGAUCAAGGUAUGAAACCAGUAUACUUCGUUAAAAAAAAAAGAUCUGUGUCAUUUGAGUGUGAAGCAAAGAUUAACCCAUUUAUCUUGAUGCAUUUGUUUUAAAUGACUUUUUAAAAUGGUUUCUCAAACUGUUGCCUCUCUGGAGCCAUAAUGUGAUUUAUCUUCCUUAAUUUAAUUGUCUUGGAUAGCAACUGCAAAAAUUAGGCACUGCAGACAUUAAGAUAGAUUACAUGGAGGGGCUGUUGAGGUAACUCACCAGGAUGCAUUUCUAGCUUCUUUGGGUUUGUGCUCUAGAGUGCUUGGGGCUGGACCACUGCUUUGUUUUACAAUGCCUGAAAUAAUGAAGCCCUAAUCCCUGAAUGGGACAAAUAUUAAUGGGUUAAGAACAGGGAGGAAAUUCUUGGUAGGUCCAAUCUUGCUGUAAUUUAAAUUAAUGACAAAAAAAAUCCAUAGACUUAAGUCAUGUAAGAUCUUGCCUGUAAGGAGGCAGCUGGGGGAGAAGGGCAGCUGUACUAGGUUUACAGGGCAGUUGAUAUGUGGGCCUUAAGAAACCCUGUAGAACCCAAAUUAAGUGACAUUCACUGAAGGCAAGACCUAGAGGGAAGGUCUGAGAAGCAACUAACAGCUGGAAAGUUUGGAUACACGAGACGCACACAGUAUGAGGAAAUGCAGGGAUGAGGAUUUAUUCUCUCCUUCCUCCCUUCCAAGGCAUUAUGAGGUGGAUGAGAAAAUUGCUACAAUCUUGAAUGCAAAAUUGGCCUAUGAGCUAGUGCCUGGGGAAAUCUGAAAUGUGAUGGAUCUGUUGCUGAGUUUAUGUUAACUGAAUAUUUUCUUUUUCCUCUCUUUAUAAAGUGCAGCUGAAUUUUGUUUUUCAUUGCUUUUUCUUCUGAGAGUGUGGCUUUUCCAUAUAAAUAAAGUCCCACUUUGUUUUUA